AGUGGCGAAAGGGUGAGUAACACGUGAGCAACCUGCCCCCGAGUUCGGAAUAGCCCGCGGAAACGUGGAUUAAUACCGGAUGCGAAGGAUAUGGCCGCCUGGCCGCUUCCUUCAAAGAUUUAUCGCUCGGGGAUGGGCUCGCGCCCCAUUAGCUAGUUGGCGGGGUAACGGCCCACCAAGGCUACGACGGGUAGGUGGUCUGAGAGGACGGCCACCCACACCGGGACUGAGACACUGCCCGGACUCCUACGGGAGGCUGCAGUCGAGAAUCUUCCGCAAUGGGCGAAAGCCUGACGGAGCAAUGCCGCGUGGGGGAUGAAGGCCCUCGGGUCGUAAACCCCUGUCAGAUGGGACGAAAUUUGACGGUACCAUCAGAGGAAGCCACGGCUAACUACGUGCCAGCAGCCGCGGUAAUACGUAGGUGGCGAGCGUUAAUCGGAUUUACUGGGCGUAAAGGGUCCGUAGGGGGUCUGCCAAGUCGGAUGUGAAAUGCCGCGGCUCAACCACGGCACUGCAUUCGAUACUGGCGGGCUAGAGUCCGCAAGGGGUGAACGGAAUUCCUGGUGUAGCGGUGGAAUGCGUAGAUAUCAGGAAGAACACCGAUGGCGAAAGCGGUUCACUGGUGCGGCACUGACCCUGAGGGACGAAAGCGUGGGUAGCAAACAGGAUUAGAUACCCUGGUAGUCCACGCCGUAAACGUUGUGCGCUAGAUGUGGGGGGACUGAUCCCCUCCGUGUCCAAGCUAACGCGAUAAGCGCACCGCCUGGGGACUACGGUCGCAAGACUAAAACUCAAAGGAAUUGACGGGGGCCCGCACAAGCGGUGGAGCAUGUGGCUUAAUUCGAGGCAACGCGAAGAACCUU
rnacentral:rRNA from 1 species